rnacentral:rRNA from 1 species
GCACGGAGUUAGCCGAUCCUUAUUCUUACUGUACAUUCAGCUACUUAUACAUAAGUAGGUUUAUUCCAGUACAAAAGCAGUUUACAACCCGUAGGGCCGUCUUCCUGCACGCGGCAUGGCUGGUUCAGACUUCCGUCCAUUGACCAAUAUUCCUUACUGCUGCCUCCCGUAGGAGUCUGGUCCGUGUCUCAGUACCAGUGUGGGGGGUCAUCCUCUCAGAUCCCCUAAACAUCGUAGCCUUGGUAUGCCGUUACCACACCAACUAGCUAAUGUUGCGCAUGCCCAUCUUGAUCCUAUAAAUAUUUGAUUAUAUUGCGAUGCCACAACAUAAUGUUAUGCGGUCUUAAUCUCUCUUUCGAGAGGCUAUCCCCCUGAUCAAGGUAGGUUACAUACGUGUUACGCACCCGUGCGCCACUCUCACAGGGAGCAAGCUCCCCGAUCCCGUCCGACUUGCAUGUAUUAGGCCUGCCGCUAGCGUUCAUCU